AGUAAAUAGGACAACAGCAAAGUGCUCUCUGGAGAAAGAUGCUCACAUAAACGGAGAGUGGCCGGCAUGUUACUCACUCUUAUUGCAAUCUUUAGAUUGCAUCCUCAAGGUCCUUCCUGAACCGUGCUGCUUACUAUCAGAAAGUAAAGCCAGAUGUCAGAAUCCACGAGCUCCAACUAAGUCCUCCUGACCCAGUUUUUGGCCCACUUGAUCCAGUUCAGAUGAGGUAACCCCCAGAGAGCGUGUGCACAAGAGGAAGAGGGAGAGAGGAUCUUAAGCCAACUCUGCAC